rnacentral:lncRNA from 1 species
AAAGUUUCAUUAUAAAGGAUCAUUGUGUUCGGUUAUCAACAGCUUGCACAUAACAUGCCAGUGUAUGAAAAUAAUGCGGAAUUAUCUUUCGACUAUGACAGAUUGCUACAGAGCGCCAUAUUGCUUGGAUAUCUCUAUUGCAUUUACAUGAAUAUGAUGGUUUUCAGACUGAGAAUGCUCUUGGUUUCAGUUUUCUGUGUGACAUCUAAAUCAACUACAAUAGAUAUGAAUGAGAAAGAUAUCCAGCAAUACGGAGAAGUAGGUGUUGACAGUAUAAAAGGAGAGGGCGCGACCGAAGAAGGUAAGAUAAAACUUAUCUGCAUUUUAAGGAAUUUAAUUUUUGUUCAUGAUACAUGUGAUAUAAGUUAUGUUUCAAAUUAUUCAUGAGACGUUUCGAUAUUGUGUAAAGCUCUGAUCGAGAACAUUUAAGUUUUCGCAAAUACUACCCAAUCUACAAUAAUGUUUUAAGGUAAUUUUGUUUGAAUAUUUUCAAAAUCCAGUCAACUCUAUAUUUUUUCUUUGAGGCAGUUGUUAAUCAUGUGCAUGCACUUUAUUGAAUAAUUCAGAGUCUUAUGCGUUGCCUAUACAGUCAACAUCGUACUUGC